rnacentral:rRNA from 1 species
GGAAGGAUCAUUACCGAACUGUCGACAUGAGUUGCUGCUGGCCCACAAAUGGGGGCAUGUGCACACUCUGUUUACACAUCCACACACACCUGUGCACGCUCUGUAGUUCUGUGGCCUGGGGGACUCUGUCCUCUUGCUGUGGUUCUAUGUCUUUACACACACACUGUAAUAAAGUCUCAUGGAAUGCAUGUCGCGUUUAACGCAAUACAAUACAACUUUCAGCAACGGAUCUCUUGGCUCUCGCAUCGAUGAAGAACGCAGCGAAAUGCGAUAAGUAAUGUGAAUUGCAGAAUUCAGUGAAUCAUCGAAUCUUUGAACGCACCUUGCGCCCUUUGGCUAUUCCGAAGGGCAUGCCUGUUUGAGUAUCAUGAACACCUCAACUCUCAUGGUUUGCCAUGAUGAGCUUGGACUUUGGGGGUCUUGCUGGCCUGUGGUCGGCUCCUCUCAAAUUAAUCAGCUUGCCAGUGUUUGGUGGCAUCACAGGUGUGAUAACUAUCUACGCUUGUGGUUUUCCACCAGGUAACCUUCAGUGAUGGAGGUUCGCUGGAGCUCAUAAAUGUCUCUCCUCAGUGAGGACAGCUUUUUAAACGUUUGAUCUCAAAUCAGGCAGGACUACCCGCUGAACUUAAGCAUAUCAAUAAGCGGAGGAAAAGAAACUAACAAGGAUUCCCCUAGUAACUGCGAGUGAAGCGGGAAGAGCUCAAAUUUAAAAUCUGGCGUGCCUCUGGUCGUCCGAGUUGUAGUCUGGAGAAGCGUCUUCCGUGUUGGACCGUGUAUAAGUCUCUUGGAACAGGGCGUCGUAGAGGGUGAGAAUCCCGUCUUUGACACGGACUACCAAUGCUUUGUGAUGCGCUCUCAAAGAGUCGAGUUGUUUGGGAAUGCAGCUCAAAAUGGGUGGUAAAUUCCAUCUAAAGCUAAAUAUAGGCGAGAGACCGAUAGCGAACAAGUAC